ACUCUACGCAGUACGAUUAACGGAAAGCUUCGCUGGACGGUGGCGACAUCUCGAAUUUAAUCCGGGGAUGCACUUUCGAACGUUGGACCGCAUUCAGUGCCGCUCUGUGAAAUUAUUUCCAAGAAUAUUCAGUUUCAGUGAACAGUAAUUUUCAAUCGGAGAUAAGAACGACGAUAAAACAACCGGUAUGGAUAAAAUAUAGUUAUGGAAAAUUGAAGAGAGAAAGAAUAGGAGAAAGUUCCAGCACAUGCGAGAAGAUGUCGUAACGGUUGCUUUUUACGUUGUCGCGAUCGAAUUGCUUCGAAUGUCAUGUCGUUAUGAUUUCGAAAUUUAGAAAGGCACGAAAUAUCAGAGUGGAUAGGGAAUUCAGUAAGAAAAUCUAUGCAUCAAUUACGAAACUUAUGAGGGAACGAACGAAAUUCAUUCUACGUAUAUCCAUACUGGUUUUAUCAGCGGCAUCGAUUAAACCUAGUCAACGUAUAUGUGAUUUCAGUAUCGUAUAACCUCAGUGUUAGUUCGUGCCGCAGGAAACGCCACAUAAAGCAUAGUCCUGCAAUAUGUACUCCUUUACACACGCAACCAAUGUUCAACGUAUAGCUCCAAAUGAAACAUUACUAAGGAAUUGUUAUUAAAAGAAGGUUAAUAGAAUAAAGGGGUAAUCGAAAGGAAUACUUUCACGUUUAAAUAGUGCAUUCCUUUUACGAACAAUAAAAUGAAAUAUCAAUCUUGAUACAUUUGAUCUUAGCGAAGAGAGAUAGGAAUGGACUGUUGGAAAAAAGCAAUUAUAAAUGUUCACGUUUAUUUUCAAUUUAUAAUUUUGAUUACAUUUCUUCGUAGAGAAUACUGCUGUUCAA